GACGAACGCUGGCGGCGUGCCUAAUACAUGCAAGUAGAACGCUGAAGAGAGGAGCUUGCUCUUCUUGGAUGAGUUGCGAACGGGUGAGUAACGCGUAGGUAACCUGCCUUGUAGCGGGGGAUAACUAUUGGAAACGAUAGCUAAUACCGCAUAACAAUGGAUGACACAUGUCAUUUAUUUGAAAGGGGCAAUUGCUCCACUACAAGAUGGACCUGCGUUGUAUUAGCUAGUAGGUGAGGUAAUGGCUCACCUAGGCGACGAUACAUAGCCGACCUGAGAGGGUGAUCGGCCACACUGGGACUGAGACACGGCCCAGACUCCUACGGGAGGCAGCAGUAGGGAAUCUUCGGCAAUGGGGGCAACCCUGACCGAGCAACGCCGCGUGAGUGAAGAAGGUUUUCGGAUCGUAAAGCUCUGUUGUAAGUCAAGAACGGGUGUGAGAGUGGAAAGUUCACACUAUGACGGUAGCUUACCAGAAAGGGACGGCUAACUACGUGCCAGCAGCCGCGGUAAUACGUAGGUCCCGAGCGUUGUCCGGAUUUAUUGGGCGUAAAGCGAGCGCAGGCGGUUUGAUAAGUCUGAAGUUAAAGGCUGUGGCUCAACCAUAGUUCGCUUUGGAAACUGUCAAACUUGAGUGCAGAAGGGGAGAGUGGAAUUCCAUGUGUAGCGGUGAAAUGCGUAGAUAUAUGGAGGAACACCGGUGGCGAAAGCGGCUCUCUGGUCUGUAACUGACGCUGAGGCUCGAAAGCGUGGGGAGCGAACAGGAUUAGAUACCCUGGUAGUCCACGCCGUAAACGAUGAGUGCUAGGUGUUGGAUCCUUUCCGGGAUUCAGUGCCGCAGCUAACGCAUUAAGCACUCCGCCUGGGGAGUACGACCGCAAGGUUGAAACUCAAAGGAAUUGACGGGGGCCCGCACAAGCGGUGGAGCAUGUGGUUUAAUUCGAAGCAACGCGAAGAACCUUACCAGGUCUUGACAUCCCGAUGCUAUUUCUAGAGAUAGAAAGUUACUUCGGUACAUCGGUGACAGGUGGUGCAUGGUUGUCGUCAGCUCGUGUCGUGAGAUGUUGGGUUAAGUCCCGCAACGAGCGCAACCCCUAUUGUUAGUUGCCAUCAUUCAGUUGGGCACUCUAGCGAGACUGCCGGUAAUAAACCGGAGGAAGGUGGGGAUGACGUCAAAUCAUCAUGCCCCUUAUGACCUGGGCUACACACGUGCUACAAUGGUUGGUACAACGAGUUGCGAGUCGGUGACGGCGAGCUAAUCUCUUAAAGCCAAUCUCAGUUCGGAUUGUAGGCUGCAACUCGCCUACAUGAAGUCGGAAUCGCUAGUAAUCGCGGAUCAGCACGCCGCGGUGAAUACGUUCCCGGGCCUUGUACACACCGCCCGUCACACCACGAGAGUUUGUAACACCCGAAGUCGGUGAGGUAACCUUUUGGAGCCAGCCGCCUAAGGUGGGACAGAUG
rnacentral:rRNA from 1 species